UACGGGGGGGGGCAAGCGUUGUUCGGAAUUACUGGGCGUAAAGGGCUCGUAGGUGGCCAACUAAGUCAGACGUGAAAUCCCUCGGCUUAACCGGGGAACUGCGUCUGAUACUGGAUGGCUUGAGUUCGGGAGAGGGAUGCGGAAUUCCAGGUGUAGCGGUGAAAUGCGUAGAUAUCGGGAGGAACACCAGUGGCGAAGGCGGUUAGCUGGCCUGUAACUGACACUGAGGCGCGAAGGCUAGGGGGAGCGAACAGG
rnacentral:rRNA from 1 species